GUUUUGUCCGUUUCUGUUUCUGAAAAAAAUGACGCUCCAUUGAGAACCAUAAAAAUUAAUGUCAUCGCUAGGCUAGAGCUCCAUUCCCCUCCGUCAAGAAACACGUCGACUUUCGAACUACAAAAAUUUAAUGGAGCAGCAAUUUCCGAUCAUACUUUCGUUGAAGUAAAAAAAUAUUGAAAUAACUUACCAAGUUGCAAUCCAAGGCUGGUCGGUGCCUUUCCGCUAGCUCCCAUAAUUCCCGGGUCAUCGAGCAAAUCUCCAAUUCUACAUUAUGCAACUCUGGAUGAUAGAGGCAUAUUAGAUGCGAUAUCGAAAAAGCUUACAUGUCGGUUGCAUGCUCGACGACGAGCUCGGCAAUGUCGCCAGUCCGUUCCAUUAUCUGCGCCACCUCCUCGAAGCUGCGAUCGAUCAAGGA